rnacentral:rRNA from 1 species
CCUACGGGAGGCAGCAGUGGGGAAUAUUGGACAAUGGGGGCAACCCUGAUCCAGCCAUGCCGCGUGUGUGAAGAAGGCCCUCGGGUUGUAAAGCACUUUCAGUGAGGAAGAACGCCUGGUGGUUAAUACCCAUCAGGAAAGACAUCACUCACAGAAGAAGCACCGGCAUAACUCCGUGCCAGCAGCCGCGGUAAUACGGAGGGUGCGAGCGUUAAUCGGAAUUACUGGGCGUAAAGCGCGCGUAGGUGGCUUGAUAAGCCGGUUGUGAAAGCCCCGGGCUCAACCUGGGAACGGCAUCCGGAACUGUCAAGCUAGAGUGCAGGAGAGGAAGGUAGAAUUCCCGGUGUAGCGGUGAAAUGCGUAGAGAUCGGGAGGAAUACCAGUGGCGAAGGCGGCCUUCUGGACUGACACUGACACUGAGGUGCGAAAGCGUGGGUAGCAAACAGGAUUAGAUACCCUGGUAGUC